rnacentral:rRNA from 1 species
UACGUAGGGGGCAAGUGUUGUCCGGAUUUACUGGGCGUAAAGAGCGCGCAGGCGGUCGUUCAAGUCGCGUGUGAAAGCCCCCGGCUCAACUGGGGAGGGUCACGCGAUACUGAUCGACUCGAAGGCAGGAGAGGGUAGUGGAAUUCCCGGUGUAGUGGUGAAAUGCGUAGAUAUCGGGAGGAACACCAGUGGCGAAGGCGACUACCUGGCCUGUUCUUGACGCUGAGGCGCGAAAGCUAGGGGAGCAAACGGG